GUGGUGCUGAGGAUCAAACCCGGGCCGCACGCAUGCCAGGGUGCCAUUUCUUCAUCCUAAUGAAUUCCUCUGUUUAAUCUUGAAAAUGAAUCAUGGUAUUAAACAUCAAGGGACACUUUUUUGGCUUGAAAAAAUGGA